rnacentral:lncRNA from 1 species
GGGUACGCCUACUCUAGCAAGACUGGUUGACGCGGGGAGCCCGGCGCGCCUUUCCCAGGAAAACAAGAAGAGGCUGCUCCCGGGGCGCGGGAGAUGAGUCACUCCUCAGUUCAGCAAGGGACUGCCCUUCGGACCAGGUGAAGAAAAAGCUCAGCAUGACGGAGCUACUUGCUGGCUAGCAUCUAACUGCUGAGAGGCAAAGCUGGAACUCAAACCCAGGGAUGAUAUGUGUAACCAAUGGAAUAUGCAAAAAUGACAGUGUGACUUCUAAGGCCAAGUCAUAAAAGUCCUUGAAGGUUCCACCUGACUCUCUUUUGGAUCACUCACCUGCCAUGUGGUGAAGACACCUAAGCAGCACCUGGAGAAGCUCACUGGCAGGGAACUGACACCUCUGCCCAACAACCAGCACUGACUUGCAGGUUCUAUUCCAAGGACAAUGAAGGCAGCUGGUUCCGUUCCCUCUUCGUACACAAGGUGGAUCCUCGGAAGGAUGCCCACUCUACCCUGCUGUCUAAGAAGGAGACCAGCAACCUCUACAAGAUCCAGUUUCACAAUGUGAAGCCCGAGUGUCUGGAUGCCUACAACAGCCUGACGGAGGCCGUGCUGCCCAAGCUGCACCUGGAUGAGGACUACCCCUGCUCGCUUGUGGGCAACUGGAACACGUGGUACGGGGAGCAGGACCAGGCUGUACACCUGUGGCGAUUCUCAGGUGGCUACCCAGCCCUCAUGGACUGCAUGAACAAGCUCAAAAACAACAAGGAGUACCUGGAGUUCCGAAAGGAGCGGAGCCAGAUGCUGCUUUCCAGGAGGAACCAGAUGCUUCUCGAGUUCAGCUUCUGGAAUGAGCCACAGCCUCGAGCUGGCCCCAACAUCUACGAGCUGAGGACGUACAAGCUCAAGCCAGGAACCAUGAUCGAGUGGGGGAACAACUGGGCUCGGGCCAUCAAGUACCGGCAGGAGAACCAGGAAGCAGUGGGCGGCUUCUUCUCGCAGAUAGGAGAGCUCUACGUUGUGCACCAUCUCUGGGCCUAUAAGGACCUGCAGUCUCGGGAGGAGACCCGAAACGCUGCCUGGAGGAAGAGGGGCUGGGAUGAAAAUGUCUACUACACAGUCCCCCUGGUGCGACACAUGGAGUCUCGGAUCAUGAUCCCUUUGAAGAUCUCGCACCCCAGUGGAGGGUUUUUUGUUUCCUGAAAUCCUAUCGAGGAGCAUCCUCCCACUAUGGCAGAAGGAACUGCACUAUAUAACCAGGGAUUCGGGACAUGUGUUUCUGCCUUCAGAUAAGUAGGACUUAGUAAACUCUAUCUGUACUCAUACCUGGGGUAGAAAAUGCUUGAAACUGUCAAAUGCUGCAUUAGAUUUGGGGCUCUACCCUAGGUAAAUGUGGCCUAAAAUGGGGAAAAUACCGAUCAAUCUUUGCGGGGGUGGGGGGAGGAGGCUGAAUGAAAUGGGCUUAAAACCCUCCCUGACUUGCUGCCCUCACUAGUGUGGGAUGUUAGGGUGGAUGUGAUGGUGAUUUAGAAUCCAGGUUAUGGAAGCAAAUCCACAGGGAUCCAGAUCUUAACACCACCACGCUGGGUUAUCCUGGGCAUGGGCAAAUUCAUUCAACACCUGGCAGAGCUCCCAUAGUUGUCGGACAUCGUUUUAGGCGCUGGGGAAAGAAUGAACGAGGCACAUAAGAGGCUUUGCCCUUGCAGCCUCGGUUUCCUAGUUUCAGGGGGCAGCAUGAGGCUGCUGGCUGGCUAGGACCCGCUCUGACAAACCAGGUGCCGCCUCCGCCGGCGUCCGCACCUCCUUGCUUCCCAGCAGAUACCAGCACAGCAGUCUGAGCCAGGACCCUUCGCGCUUCGCUUCCGGCCUCCGCGCCUCGCUUCCGGUCGACCGCUCCUUCCUUCCGCUUCUCUAUGGUGCGCGGUCCGCAGUCCUCCCGACGCCGGAAGUGGCUCGUUCACCGGGACGGAUUCUGGGCGCGUGCGGUGUUCAACAUUAUCGAUCACCUGUGGACCAUCAAAAGCCUGCUCCCAGGUCAUCUUUAUCGUCUUCCUCAGUGGAGUGCUUCCUGUGUUAAUGUCCACAAUAGCCCCAGAGGUAGGGACUUGAUGGCUUGGAGAGAUGCUAUAGUGGCAAGACUACAGGACACAGUAACGUAGUUGUCAAGAGCAUGGAUGUGGCGUGGCUUGAGACCAAGCCUUAGCAUCCUAGCUGUAUGACCUUGGGCACAUCAUUCACCUUCCUGACUCUCAGUCUCUGCUGUUUCCUCCUGAUUUCUCCAAACAACCAUGUCAUCAGAAUCGAGCAAAAAACGGAAGCCCAAAGUGAUCCGGAGUGAUGGAGCUCCAGCUGAAGGGAAGCGUAAUCGUUCUGACACUGAGCAGGAAGGUAAAUACUACAGCGAGGAGGCUGAGGUGGACCUGCGGGACCCUGGCAGAGACUAUGAGCUGUACAAGUACACGUGUCAAGAGUUGCAGAGGCUCAUGGCUGAGAUCCAGGACCUGAAAAGCAGGGGAGGCAAGGAUGUGGCCAUUGAGAUUGAAGAUCGGAGGAUCCAGAGCUGUGUACAUUUCAUGACUCUAAAGAAGCUUAACCGAUUAGCCCACAUCAGGUUGAAGAAAGGAAGAGAUCAGACCCAUGAGGCCAAGCAGAAAGUGGAUGCCUAUCACCUGCAGCUCCAGAACCUGUUGUAUGAGGUGAUGCACCUGCAGAAGGAGAUCACCAAAUGUCUGGAGUUUAAGUCAAAGCAUGAAGAAAUUGACCUGGUCAGCUUGGAGGAGUUUUAUAAGGAGGCUCCUCCAGAUAUCAGUAAAGCCGAAGUCACCAUGGGAGACCCUCACCAGCAAACUCUUGCACGUCUGGACUGGGAGCUGGAGCAGCGGAAAAGGCUGGCAGAGAAGUACCGAGAGUGCUUAUCCAACAAGGAGAAGAUCCUCAAGGAGAUUGAGGUGAAGAAGGAGUACCUGAGCAGCCUCCAGCCCCGACUCAACAGCAUCAUGCAGGCUUCCCUCCCAGUGCAAGAGUACCUGUUUAUGCCCUUCGACCAGGCUCACAAGCAGUAUGAGACAGCCAGACACCUACCACCUCCCCUCUAUGUCCUCUUUGUCCAGGCCACUGCAUAUGGGCAGGCCUGUGAUGACGAGAGCGACUCGGAUGCUGAGGAGGAACAGACCACGAAACGCCGGCGACCCACUCUGGGAGUUCAGCUGGACGACAAACGCAAGGAGAUGCUGAAGAGGCACCCGCUGUCCGUCAUGCUGGACCUGAAAUGCAAAGAUGACAGUGUCCUGCACCUGACUUUCUACUACCUCAUGAACCUCAACAUCAUGACAGUAAAAGCCAAAGUGACAACCGCCACAGAGCUGAUCACCCCCAUCAGUGCAGGUGACUUGCUGUCUCCUGACUCAGUCCUAAGCUGUCUGUAUCCUGGGGAUCAUGGAAAGAAAACUCCAAAUCCAGCCAAUCAGUAUCAGUUUGACAAAGUUGGCAUCCUGACUUUGAGAGACUACGUACUUGACCUAGGUCACCCCUAUUUGUGGGUGCAGAAGCUGGGUGGUCUCCACUUCCCCAAAGAGCAGCCCCAGCACACUGUGGUCGCUGACCACUCGCUGAGCGCCAGCCACAUGGAGACCACCAUGAAGCUGCUGAAGACCAGGGUGCAGUCCCGCCUGGCCCUCCACAAGCAGUUUGCCUCCCUGGAACAUGGCAUCGUGCCAGUUACCAGUGAUUGCCAGUACCUCUUCCCUGCAAAGGUCGUCUCUCGCCUGAUGAAGUGGGUGGCAAUUGCCCAUGAGGAUUACAUGGAGCUGCAUUUCACCAAAGACAUUGUGGAGGCGGGACUGGCCGGGGACACCAAUCUCUACUACAUGGCACUCGUGGAAAGGGGCACAGCUAAGCUCCAGGCGGCCGUGGUGCUGAACCCUGGCUACUCCUCCAUCCCGCCCAUUUUCCAGCUCUGUCUGAACUGGAAAGGGGAGAAAACCAACAGCAACGAUGACAAUAUUCGGGCCAUGGAGAGCGAGGUCAACGUUUGCUACAAAGAGCUGUGUGGCCCCCGGCCCAGCCACCAGCUCUUGACCAACCAGCUGCAGCGCCUGUGCGUGCUGUUGGACGUCUACCUGGAGACGGAGAGCCACGACGACAGUGUGGAGGGGCCCAAGGAAUUUCCCCAGGAGAAGAUGUGUCUGAGGCUUUUCAGGGGUCCCAGCAGGAUGAAGCCGUUUAAAUAUAACCAUCCUCAAGGAUUCUUCAGCCAUCGCUGACCUCCCACUUAGCUAUUGUCCGCCUCCAGACCCCAGUACUGCACUUCUUUCUGAUCUGGCACACAUGUGGCUCUUGAUAUUCUCCAAAGACAGGUUUUCUAUUUGUAGCCUAUUAAAGUGUCACCUGAC